rnacentral:rRNA from 1 species
CAGCAGCCGCGGGAAUACGGAGGGUGCAAGCGUUAAUCGGAAUUACUGGGCGUAAAGCGCACGCAGGCGGUCUGACAAGUCAGAUGUGAAAUCCCCGGGCUUAACCUGGGAACUGCAUUUGAAACUGUCAGGCUGGAGUCUUGUAGAGGGGGGUGGAAUUCCAGGUGUAGCGGUGAAAUGCGUAGAGAUCUGGAGGAAUACCGGUGGCGAAGGCGGCCCCCUGGACAAAGACUGACGCUCAGGUGCGAAAGCGUGGGGAGCAAACAGGAUUAGAUACCCCAGUAGUCCCUGUCCCUUAUAC